GCUUUGGUAGACUAGUGGUUAGAGCGUCCGCUUCUGAAUUUGGAGGUCGUGGGUUCAAACCCCGACCGAGUCA